rnacentral:rRNA from 1 species
UGCAGUCGAGCGGUAGAGAGAAGCUUGCUUCUCUUGAGAGCGGCGGACGGGUGAGUAAUGCCUAGGAAUCUGCCUGGUAGUGGGGGAUAACGUUCGGAAACGGACGCUAAUACCGCAUACGUCCUACGGGAGAAAGCAGGGGACCUUCGGGCCUUGCGCUAUCAGAUGAGCCUAGGUCGGAUUAGCUAGUUGGUGGGGUAAUGGCUCACCAAGGCGACGAUCCGUAACUGGUCUGAGAGGAUGAUCAGUCACACUGGAACUGAGACACGGUCCAGACUCCUACGGGAGGCAGCAGUGGGGAAUAUUGGACAAUGGGCGAAAGCCUGAUCCAGCCAUGCCGCGUGUGUGAAGAAGGUCUUCGGAUUGUAAAGCACUUUAAGUUGGGAGGAAGGGCAUUAACCUAAUACGUUAGUGUUUUGACGUUACCGACAGAAUAAGCACCGGCUAACUCUGUGCCAGCAGCCGCGGUAAUACAGAGGGUGCAAGCGUUAAUCGGAAUUACUGGGCGUAAAGCGCGCGUAGGUGGUUCGUUAAGUUGGAUGUGAAAUCCCCGGGCUCAACCUGGGAACUGCAUUCAAAACUGUCGAGCUAGAGUAUGGUAGAGGGUGGUGGAAUUUCCUGUGUAGCGGUGAAAUGCGUAGAUAUAGGAAGGAACACCAGUGGCGAAGGCGACCACCUGGACUGAUACUGACACUGAGGUGCGAAAGCGUGGGGAGCAAACAG